rnacentral:rRNA from 1 species
CCUACGGGUGGCAGCAGUGAGGAAUAUUGGUCAAUGGACGAGAGUCUGAACCAGCCAAGUAGCGUGAAGGAUGACUGCCCUAUGGGUUGUAACCUUCUUUUAUAUGGGAAUAAAAUGUUCCACGUGUGGGCUUUUGUGUGUACCAUAUGAAUAAGGAUAGGAUAACGCCGUGCCAGCAGCCGCGGUAAUACGGAGGGUCCGGGCGUUAUCCGGAUUUAUUGGGUUUAAAGGGAGCGUAGGUGGAUUGUUAAGUCAGUUGUGAAAGUUUGCGGCUCAACCGCAAAAUUGAAGUUGAAACUGGCAGUCGUGAGUGCAGUAGAGGUGGGCGGAAUGCGUGGUGUAGCGGUGAAAUGCUUAGAUAUCACGAAGAACUCCGAUUGCGAAGGCAGUUCACUGGACUGCAACUGACACUGAGGCUCGAAAGUGUGGGUAUCAAACAGGAUUAGAUACCCGAGUAGUC